CUGCUGUGCUCUCUUACCUCGAGUUAACCUUGACCUCACUGAGACAGACCAUGUCCUUUACCUUCUUUUUGCUCCUAGUAGUUGGUGUCACAUGUCAAUCAUCAAUAAACAUUGGUUGAAUGAAUGAAAUAAAACUAACCUGAUUUUCCAUAGUGAGUACAUUCUGCAUAAGUUUCUUUGUGAGUUGCUUUGUUAUGGCCAUGGGAGUGGGAAUGUACUUUGCUCUGUAAAAUGGAGUAGUCCUUGUGUUCUCCAGAACAGGAGUCAGAGAUCCCUUUCUCAUUGGAGUAGGAAGUGGUGAGGAAAUCAGAGUUCAGCCACCACCUGGCAUCACUGAUCUAGAGCUGCUACAGGCCCUUGAACCUCAGUUCUACAAGGUUGAGCCUUCUCCGCAGCAGGGAGACAAGUCCAUCCACGGAGCCCUGUUGAUCUACAUAUGUAUGCCCUGGCCCAGCCCCCAUCAUCGGACAGAGCACCAGGAGGAAAACGGUGGUGGGGGGGUUGGAGCAGGGAGGGAAUACAGCUGCAUGUUCUCCCAAGGAAACCAGCAUUUGGAUAAUCAGCAGGUGUCCUAGUAGAGAGGGAUUUGCACCCAGCCCAAGGAGAUCCAACCAGUCCAUUCUAAAGGAGAUCAGUCCUGGGAUUUCUUUGGAAGGAAUGAUGCUAAAGCUGAAACUCCAGUACUUUGGCCACCUCAUGUGAAGAGUUGACUCAUUGGAAAAGACUCUAAUGCUGGGAAGGGAUUGGGGGCAGGAGGAAAAGGGGACGACAGAGGAUGAGAUGGCUGGAAGGCAUCACCGACUCGAUGGACGUGAGUUUGAGUGAACUCUGGGAGUUGGUGAUGGGUAGGGAGGCCUGGCAUGCUGCGAUUCAUGGGGUCGCAAAGAGUCAGACACGACUGAGUGACUGAACAGAACUGAACUGUUUGGCUUCCUGCACGAUUUUUGAAAGUCACUAUUGGGUCGGUCUUGUUUAUCCUCCUUCUCUCGACUCUGGGUGGAUCUCAAGACUGUGGGGACAAGAAGUAUAUAUCCUCCCAUAAAGACUGAAGACCUUUGUCAUGACCUUUAUAUCAGAGACAUCCAUGAGCUUCCUUGGAGGCUCAGUGCUGAAGAAUCCACAUGCUAAUGCAGAAGACACAGGUUCAAUCCCUGGUCCCAGCAGAUCCCACAUGCCAUGGAGCAGCUAAGCCCAUGUGUUGCAACUACUGAAGCCUGAGCAUCCUAGAGCCAGUGCUCUGCAGCAAGAGAAGCCGCCACAAUGAGAAGCCCACUACAGAGUAGCCACUGUUCGUCACAACUAGAGAAAAACGCAAGCAACAAUGAAGACCCAGCACAGCCAAAAACAAAUUAAUAAAAAAAACCCUGAGAGACACAUCCUUAGCCCAAAAGACUUGGGGUACCUUGAAGGAGUAAUGAUUAUGUUGCCUUGACAUCCUACCCAGAGAGAUGAGAAAAACAUUCCUCUAGAAAGCUCAUGUGGCAGUUUGUUUUUUCCAAAAGUGAACACAAGAAUAUCUCUGGCCUCACAUGAACUUCGGAAAAGUUUUCACAUCUCUCGCAUGGAGUCUAUGUCCCCUUCCUCAAUACCCACCCCCACCCCAUGUUGCAUUUCUAGUUCUAGGAACUGGUCACUGAACAGGAGUGUCACUGCCCACGCUUUAUUCACUCAACUGUUUUAUUGUAAAAUGCCAUGUGCUCCGUUCAAAGGGCCUCAUUAUUAUCAGGACAGAACCACAAUGUUGCUGUUGGGAUUCAUGCUCUGUGAGAGCAGGCAGGGAGCAUUAGGAGCAGCCAUCCAUUUUAUAUAUAAAGACACCAAUGCCCAGAGAGGGUAAGUUAAUUGUUCAACUCACACAACUAGUAGCAUAAAACAGGGUCUUCAAUUCCAAGCUGUGCCAGAGGCAGCUUGUGCCAGCAUGCAAGGAUCAAUUUGGACAUUUUCAGGAAUUUUGCAGGUCUGUGACCAUGAUGGGAAUUUUUACACCAGGGGAAUUGGCAACCUCUCCAAUUCAGGGCUUUCCUCUCCUCUCCUUCCCCUGGAAAGCUAGCUGUUACGCGUUUGCCUGCACACCAUUGCCCUAAUGUUCUCUCCUGUCUUGAGAGAUGGAAUGGAGGUCCCCUGGGCUCUAGGCUUUUUUCUUUGUUGUCAGCCAGAUAUCCUGCCCUCAACAGGGUACAGUUCCUACAACAUAGGGCUUCCCAUCUAAGAUUCCCUCCAAAACCUGUGUCUCAUAGUCACCUGAGGAUCAAUAUAUUCAAAAUAAAACGCUUGAUUUCCCAGCUGCCUCCUCCAGCUUGCUCUCACCUCAACACCAUGCACCACUAUUCCCCAAAAGAUUCACCCUGGAAAACGGGGAGGCAUCCGUGAUUAUUCCUUUCUUUUCCUCAUAUUGUGGAUUAAAUUGUGCCCCCCUAAAGAUAUGUUGAGAAGUCCUAAGCCCUGGUACCUGUGAAUGUGACCUUAUUAGGAACAGAAUCUUUGUAGAUAUAAUUAAGAUGUAAGUCGAGACCAUACUUGUAAAAGACUUAAUGAACAGAAGCCUCAAUCAAAUGGAGUCAGGAGACCAGAAAGGGAAGCUCUGAUGCCCUGUGACAAGAGCAGAGCCCAACAGGAGGAAGAGUGACUCUCCUCUUUCCUGGGGAGGACUCAGCCAGUGAAAAGCCAUGGAUUCUUUGCUUGCUAUGACUCUCUGACAUUCCUCUCCUUCUCUAUAAAAGCUCUUUCCUGCUCUUGCACUUGGCUCAGCGUAGUUGCAGAACUGCAAUUCUCUGCUGAUCCUGAAUAAACCCAUCUUUUUGGAGACAUAUCUGGCAGUCUAUUUGACAUGCUAGAGUAGGGUAAAUGCUUCAUCCAGUAUGACUGGUGUCAUUAUAAAAAAAGAAGACGAGACAGAGAGAAACAUGGGGGAGAUGCCAUAUGAUGAUUGAGGCAGAGAUUAGAACAAUGUGUCUGCAAAGCUAAGCAGCAUCCAGGCCUGUCAGCAACCACAAAAGCCAAGAGAACAGCAUGGAGUAGAUUGUCCCCUAGAGCUUCAGAGACAGCAUGGCCUGCCAACACCUUGAUUUCAGGCAUCUAGCUUGCAAAACUGUGUGAGAAUAAAUUUCUGUUGGUGUUAAGCCACCUAAUUUGUGAUCGUUUGUUACAGGUCCUAGGAAACUAACACAUCUCACAGUCCCUGGCCUCGUCAUGUUUUUUCCCACCAGCAAGACCUAUCAAUUAUGUUUCCAAAUAGAACUCAAAUCUGUCUGCUUUUCUGCUGCCACAGUAAUUCAGACCACUCUCAUCAGCAGCAUGGACACUGCAACCAUCUCCUACCUGGUCCAUACUUGACCGCUCCAGUUCAUUCAGAAGGAUCCACAUAAACCCUUAGAUCACAUUACUCUCUACUCAAACAUCUGGUUCCCAUUGCUCUUAGCAUAGCCUCUGUGUCUUAACAUGGCUCACAAGAUGCUACCUGAGCUCCUAAUCUUUAAAGCCUCACCUUCUCCCUCUAUGCUCUAGCUAUUGUUUAUUUUUUAUUUGUUUAUUUAUUUAUAGUUCAUCAAAUUUGGCAAGUUCUUUUUCAUCUCAGGACCUUUGCCAGAAGUACUCUGCCUGGGGAACCUUCCACAGACUUCCUCCUAAUUAUUAUCUUUCAAUUGUCUGCUCCUUCUCACCUUUAGGUCUAUAAACCUUUCCCUCCAUCUCUGCUUUUUCCUUUCUCUGAUAGAUCGCAUUUUCAAAGAUAAUCAUAAAUAAGAUCCACAUAUCACCCACCUUUCGAUGGUCCAAGACACUGCGCUCUGAAGGCAUUCCAAAUAUCCUGAAAAAAGCGCCCCCAGGAGAAAUAAGCUUGACCACCAUACCAUCACCCAGUUUCUCCUGAACUCCGAGUCAGCCAUGAAG
ensembl:lncRNA